UUCCCCAUGCGCUGACCGUGAGGCUCGCGAUGUGUGUGAUCGUGUAAGCGAUGUCCCGCUCGCAUCCCGGAGCGGCGUGCGGACCCGCGUCCAAUGUGAAGAUCGCCCACGUCGCCUGCACGCUCUGCUCUGCACUCGACACCAUGCUGACAGCUCUGAAACAGCUCGCAAUGCACGCAGUGAUGUGCCGUCCGCAUCCCGGAGCGGCGUGCGGGGCCGGUAUCUAGUGUGAAGAUCGCCUUCGUCGCUUGCGUGCUCUGUUCUGCCGUCGUCCCCGUGCUAUCAGGAAAUCUACAGAGAGGAGUCGAAAAUGCAGAAAUGACAGCUCGCACACAAAUGCCUAAAGCUCUGAAGCUUGUAAGCUGCUUAGAAAGUCGCCCAAAACAUAUUGGCAUAGAGUUAUGGAGCCCGUCUGCAAAAAGGUAAGAAACUUGUGAUAUUAACUUCUAAUAUUUUCACAUCUUUAUUUGAUUCAGAUAUUUCUAUUUAGAUGUAACUGCCAGUAGAGAGGUGAUGUCUCAUUAGAUGUAACCCAAUGAAAGAUUUCUCUCAUUAGAACUCCUAUAUGACUAGUGCUGCAGACUGUUAUGGGAUGCCUGCAAUUUUUAAUUAUAAACCGACACAU